UUCACGUGUUCUUGGAGGACUUUCCGCUCGCAAGCGCUUCUCCAUUCUCCUAACGUCUCGGGCCUGACCUGUGGAUGAAGAGCCAGAGUCCCCCAAGGUCAAUGCUGCUGGCCAGUGGCCUGGUGUCUGCAUUAACAGAACAUCUGCAACGCCCUCAAAGCCCAUGGCCACUCUCUAGUCCAGAGGAGAAAAGGAUAAUAAAUAUCACACUAAACAACAUGGAAUACUUCUCAAGUCACCAGAAAGGUAAAUCAGAAAGUAUUAUUUGCUAUUUUGAACUGGAAAAACAUAUAAAUGUUCCCAUCUCUUUUCUUGGCAGGUGAAACUGGACAGAAUACUUCUGUCCAUAAGGCCCUUAGAAGCCCCCUAAGUGAAAUAGCAGUGAGGACCCCCCCCCAGCAGCUGCUGUCUCUUCAGUCA
rnacentral:lncRNA from 10 species